rnacentral:lncRNA from 1 species
CUACAAAGGCUUCAAGAAUACGAAGAAAAUAGAGUUUUCUCAUGACAUUGUUCAAAGAAAUCGAAGAGCAGAGGGAUCACUUGAAAGUAUUGCUAUAAAACACCCACAUAGAAAGGGAUCAACUAAAACAAAAGUUGAUUUUGACUGAAGAAAGGGAGAAUAGCCUAAAAAUGAUGUUAAAGGGAGAAUAGCCUAAAAAUAAUGUUAUGUGGUAUAUACUAGAAUUCAUUGUUUGGAAAGG